AAGGUUGUCAAGGUAAACCUCGCUGGUGUUGCUGGUUUUUUGUAUUAUAUUACCUUUGAUGUCAGGGAUGCUGCUACGGUUGAUGGUGGUACUAUGGAAUUUCAAGCUUUUGUCUGGGAUGGGAUUGCCCACACUGAAGUAGUCAUUUCUAGGCUGAAAUCUAGCACAUAAUCGAGGUGAGAUUGAAGAUUUCAUCAAGGUAAUAUGCAUAUGGAGUCCCAGUCAGUUGUUGGAAGGGUGUGCUACUAUGAAACAAAAUGAAUAUAAUAUUAGAAUCUUUGUACAUGUGGUGGUGGUAGGGUUGUGUUGGUUAGGCUGAACUGGGUUUGUUGACGUCAAAAACUUUGGAUAUUGACAAUUAUGUUGUUACUUGAUUUAGUAUAUGUCUAGAUUAAUAUUCUAAGCUAAUAUCUAAACUAAUAUUUAUAAAACAAUGUCGUCAGAUGAUGUUUUGUUUGACAAGUGAAAUGUAUGACACAUAACAACUAGAGCAAAUUGCUUGUCCAAGUUGUUUUU